rnacentral:rRNA from 1 species
GAUGAACGCUGGCGGCGUGCCUAAUACAUGCAAGUCGAGCGAACAGAUGAGGAGCUUGCUCCUCUGACGUUAGCGGCGGACGGGUGAGUAACACGUGGAUAACCUACCUAUAAGACUGAUAACUUCGGGAAACCGGAGCUAAUACCGGAUAAUAUAUUGAACCGCAUGGUUCAAUAGUGAAAGACGGUUUUGCUGUCACUUAUAGAUGGAUCCGCGCCGCAUUAGCUAGUUGGUAAGGUAACGGCUUACCAAGGCAACGAUGCGUAGCCGACCUGAGAGGGUGAUCGGCCACACUGGAACUGAGACACGGUCCAGACUCCUACGGGAGGCAGCAGUAGGGAAUCUUCCGCAAUGGGCGAAAGCCUGACGGAGCAACGCCGCGUGAGUGAUGAAGGUCUUCGGAUCGUAAAACUCUGUUAUUAGGGAAGAACAAAUGUGUAAGUAACUAUGCACGUCUUGACGGUACCUAAUCAGAAAGCCACGGCUAACUACGUG